AGAGGCGGGGGAGGGCACAGAGCUAGCAGUGCCCCUGGGGUGCUGGGGUCGAGCGUAGCCUCAGAUGCACCUUUAGAGCUCCCCUCUCUGGGAAACUAGAAAAAAAGUUAUGAUUGCAAAAAAACAGGGCUGGGGAGACGGCUCAGUGUGUAAAAACACUUGCUGUUCAAGCAAGAGGGCCUGAGUUCAAAUCCCAGCACCCAACUAAACCUGGUACAGUGUACUGCUGGGAGGCAGAAGCAGAAGAUCACAGGGAGUCCAGCCUCGCUCUGGAUUCUGUGAGAGACCCUGUCUCCAGGGAACAAGACAGAGAGGGAGAGGGACAGACCAGGUCUUCUGGCUCUACAUAGCAUGCUGGCAUCUGUGCUCUCUCAUUCCCCUACCUUCACCUCUGACCCCCACCUCCCCACCCAACCUCACCCGCAUAAAAAGGUGUAGAAAUACAUCCAGGAUGUGGGCUUCUCCCUCCCAGGCUCAACAACCAUUAACAUUUUGUCUCCUCUUAGACUGUCUUUUGUCCUCAUUAAAUAAAGUACCUCAGGUGAAAACUGAAGGGCCCUCUAACUGUUUCUCCCUGGAGACAAGCAGUUCACACCUAGUGCUAAGUUUUCUCCAGUCUAGGUUCUUUUAUACACACUUAUCGUUCUCAUUAUAAAGGCAUAGUGUGCAUACCUGCCCUCACCCUUCUGUGUGUGUGUGUGUGUGUACAUGUGUGUGCACAUGUAUGCUUAUGUGCAUGCACAUGUGUACAUGUGUGAGUGCCUGUGUGUGUGUGUAUGUUUGUGUGUAUCUGUGCAUGUGUGUGUCUGUGACUGUUCGUGUGUGUGCAUAUGCCUGUGCCUAUGUGCUGAUGUGCUGCCUGGCCUAGAUGGCCCAGAUGGCUUUGAACUUAAAAUCUUCCUGCUUCUGUUUACUAAGUGGGGAGUUGUUAGUGGGACCCCCCCAUGAGUGAAGUGGGACACAGUGUGCUUCUUUGGGUUGGUAUGGGGCUCCCUACCCUCUGACUUGCCUGUUCUGGAUUGCUGGUCAUGGGUCACCCCCAAACUGGCCUGGCCAGUUGAGCAAAUGCCCUGGGUGCCCAGGUGGAGGUCUUCGGCCACAUAUCAGGGGCACUUAACCAUACAACACUGAAUAUCUCAUAUCCUUCUCAUGGGGUCAGUCACACAUCACCCCACACCCACUCUACAGGGUGUAUUCAUCUCUGCAGAGGGGGGAACUGAGGAACAGUUGCUCAGGAGCAGCAAAAAUUGUCCCGCUGGGAUCACUAGGCCUGGCCCUCGGCUCGCCUUCAGACCCACGAUGCUCCUGUCGACAGCCAGCCAUGUCGGCAGCCAUGUGAGGCCUAGGUUUGUUUGUUCCAUCACUGGGGCUGAACAUUUUACUUGUUUUCUUGUGCGUGUGCACGAGUGCAUGCCAUGGCACACGUGUGGAGGUCAGAGGGCAACUUGGAGGAGUCAGGUCUCUCCUUUCCAUCGUGUGGGUCUUGGGGAUCCAGCUCCAGCCGUUGGCUUGGAAGCAAGUACUCUUAUCCACUGAGUCACCUUCAUCGUCUGUGGGACUUUUCCCGACUUGAGAAUUUACAAACCAGGAAAGAAAACCCUUUGUUAGGUUGUACUCUGCUUUGAGGUUUCUCCUUUUCCUUUCUCAUCUUUUUCUUUCUUUCUUUCUUUCUUUCUUUCUUUCUUUCUUUCUUUCUUUCUUUCUUUCUUUCUUCCUUCCUUCCUUCCUUCCUUCCUUCCUUCCUUCCUUCCUUUUUUUUCAAGACAUGGUCUUAUGUAGCCCAGGCUAGCCUCAAACUCACUCUAUAGCCAAGGAUGACCCUGAACUUCUAAGAUCCUUCUCCCUCUACUCCCUGAGUGAUGGGAUGAUAGGCAUGCACCACUACACCUGGUUGCUAUGGUGCUGGGGACAGACCAGUGCUUUGUGCAUGCUGGGUAAGCACUGUACUACCCAACCGACUCCCUGACCCCUGGGCUCCAGUUCAGAGAAUGUCCAUACUGACAUUACUGUGCUGGGACCAGGGCUUCAGGCGGGCAUCCUGUGCAGUGCCUGCCACGGAGUUAUUCACUGAGGGGGCCCUUCCCUCUCCCCCACUACAGCAAGCUCUGCCUCCUUGGUACUGGUUCUCUACUUAGAGCUAAUGCCACUUCGGAUUUAGCAUCAAACAGAAUAAAGGAGGGAGCUGGGUAUUGGGGUUACCAAGAGCAGAAGUAAUGAACUACAUAAAGCCCUGUGUGGGGUGGCCAGCAAUAUCCCGUAAGAGGGAGUGCAUGAGGUCAUCUUGGACACUGGCACAGACUCCAAAGGAUUCACACAAUUGAUGAGGGAACCACCCACAUGAAGCCAGGAGUAGGGGGCAGAGGUAUGGAGAGUUGUAAGUGCAAAGGCCCUGGGGUUGGUAUGUUGAGGCAGAGAGGCAAUAUGGAGGCUGAUAUGACAGAGAGUGGUGAGUGAGGAAAUGGCCAACAGGAGCAGGUCACGUGGGCUGUGCCUGCUACAGACACUUUUCUCAGGGCCACGAGUAGCUGCUCAGUUACUUGUUUAUUUAUUUACAUAUUUAUGCAUGUUGCUUUGAUGUUUGAUUGUGUGUGUGUGUACUGUGUAUGCACAUGUGUGUUUGCAUGUGUUAGGGUGCACACAUGUAUGAGGGUGUAUGAGUAUUUUCCAGCAUUUGGAGGACCCGGGGUGCCUCUCUUGAUUGCUUUCUGCUUUCUCUGUUGAGGUGGGGCCUCUCUGAACCUCGAGCUUACCAACUCCACUAGUCUGUCUAGCCAGCUUGCCUUGGGGACCUGUUUCUGCCCCCCCUGUGCUGUCAUUACAGGCGGUGGCCACACCUGCCUGGGCUCUACAUAGGUUCUGGGGACCCGACUCUGGGCCCAUGGUUGUGAUGUAAAUGCUUUCUCCGCUGAGCCACCUCCCCAGCCCGUAGUUUGGGUGUUUUGGGACAGGGUCUUAUGUAGUCCAGGAUAGCCUUAAAUUAGAUACGUACCGGAGGAACUUCUGAGCCUUCUGUCUCCACCUCUGAGUGUGGAGAUUAUGGGAAUGCUCCACCAGGCUUCACUGGAUUUAAUUGUGUGUGUGUGUGUGUGUGUGUGUGUGUGUGUGUGUACACACAGGUGCCAUGGCAUGUGUGAAGAUCAGAGAACAGCUUGUGGGAUCAGUUUUCUCCUUCCACCAGGUCCAGGGAUCGAACUCAGGCUGUCAGGGCUGGGGGCAGGCAUCUUUGCCUACUGAGCCGUCUCACCAGCCUGGAUUUUCAAAUUUAAAUUUAGUUUUGUGUGUGUGUGUGUGUGUGUGUGUGUGUGUGUGUGUGUGCGCGCUGAGAUGCAGGGUUGAAUGGAUUUAUUUAAAAAUAUAUCUCUGACUGCUGUGUAAAACAUGAAUUAUUCUUUGGCAAGGGCAGAAGCAGAGAGACUGCUGGGAAGAAGGCAAGGGGACUAAGGUGCCUGGUUUCCUUGGGCUCCGCAACAUGAGGCAGUUUUCUCUUCUGGGUGGACUUCAUCACUUUUUGUGUCCCCUCAGGCCCCUGUCCCUGCCUUGUGGCUCAGCUCCAUCUUCUGUCUAGGCCCAGGAACCACCACAGGCCACAGGCUUCAGCGGUGGCGGGCGACAGCUCUGAAGUUGGCGGCUGGCCGCAAGUACAUCUGUCUCUUGACUGUUCCCUGGGUCUGUGGAGUCUGGGCUGGGGACUCCAGAGUAGGGGGAAGGGUACCCAAGAAGCAGUGAGGGACUGGGUGGGGGGUAAUUACAGACAGCAGCUCCAUGCCUGGCCUGGCCUGGCCUGGCCUGGCCUGGCCCAGGGCUGUGAGGUGUGGUACCUGAGCCUGAGCCAGCUGUGCACCUGAGAUGACCAUGUAGGGAGGGGCUGCUUGACAUGUGGCGAUUACAGGUGUGUGCCUCUGUGCCCAGCCCUCAAUGCGAGGAUGUGAGUGUUAGAGUGGGGAGCUGUGGUUAUAAAUAGAGCCAUAACAUAAGUGUGGAGAAUUCUGCUUAAAGUGCAGGAAGAAGUCACAGCCACAUUCUUGUUGGGGAGGGAAAUAAAGCCUUUUUUUUUUCCAA